AAAAUCUAAAUCCAAAAUCCCUGCCACGUAAUCACAGUUCAAUGGAAACAAACAAACAUCCACUGAUCUCAGUUUCCAUCUGCAUUUUUUUCUUUUCUUCAAUUUUUACACUUCGAUUCUCUGGAAUAUAAAUUCAAAUUAAUUUAGCUUUCUAGAAAUGGAAAGGAAAAAAAUGAAAAGUAAAAGAAAGAGAAUAAUAAUCAAUUGAAUUUUCCACCAAAUUUGUUCGACGGAUUUUUCCGAGGGUUUCCAUCAGAAUUCCACCAUCCAAACAGAACUCAGAAACUGGCUCAUCUUUGGAUUCGG
rnacentral:lncRNA from 1 species